AACCUACACCCUGAACUGUGGGGAUUCUUGAUAGGCUCCUCACAAACUGAAAGCCCAAAAUUAGGAAACCACAGCGUGUCAAACCCCCACUUUACCUUCAGACUUGAUCAUUAUCGGGGAUGGAAACUUAUUAAAAGACAAAGCAGUGAGGAAACACCCACUGAACACGUUUAAGAUUUUGUUUUAAACACCCAUUUCACGUACCCCCUGCGCAACUGGGAGGCUGCAGGAGAGCAAGGUUAUUUUGUUUAAAACAGCAGCAAUUUUCAACGAUUAAACUUUAAUCCGCGGUGGAAGGCGUGUCCUAUGACUGAAGGCGGAAAUGAAAGUGAAAGGUUCUUCUGAUCCUUGACGUGGAUCGAAGGCCACCGGUUGCGGAUCUGGGGUGGUUUAAAUCGCAGUUUGUUGAGGGGGUUGCCGGCCCCUCGGGGAUUGUCCAUGUCUCCGAUAUCAAAACUCCUGAUUUGAACAUGGAAAGGUGUGAAUCAGGUUCCAGCAGUUGCUCCUAAACAGAGGAUUAACUGUCGAGAGAUGGUUCACGUUCCAAUCAGUGCAGAAAAGCUGAACAUACCGGCUGCAAUCCCACUUGGAACAAUACUGCUUGGUAGUCACUUGGGAUGGAUAUCAAGUUAUUGUGAAGAAGGUACAAAGUUUUAUUCAGAUACUCAGUUUGGAAGCACAUUGGACAGGCUAUUUGCUGGAUCUAUCCUUAGACAAUUGUAUUUGCAUAUUUAUGUUGAAUAAAAGUAAUUAUCAUUUUUUCUUUCCA